rnacentral:tRNA from 1 species
GGACAGGUGGCCGAGUGGUUGAAGGCGCACGCCUGGAAAGUGUGUAACGGUUAAUAGCCGUUCGAGGGUUCGAAUCCCUCCCUGUCCGCCA